AUUGAACGCUGGCGGAAUGCUUUACACAUGCAAGUCGAACGGCAGCACGGGUGCUUGCACCUGGUGGCGAGUGGCGAACGGGUGAGUAAUACAUCGGAACGUACCCAGUUAUGGGGGAUAACUAACCGAAAGGUUAGCUAAUACCGCAUACGCCCUGAGGGGGAACGCGGGGGACUGUAAGGCCUCGCGUCAUUGGAGCGGCCGAUGUCUGAUUAGCUAGUUGGUGGGGUAAAGGCUCACCAAGGCGACGAUCAGUAGCAGGUCUGAGAGGAUGAUCUGCCACACUGGAACUGAGACACGGUCCAGACUCCUACGGGAGGCAGCAGUGGGGAAUUUUGGACAAUGGGGGAAGCCCUGAUCCAGCCAUUCCGCGUGAGUGAAGAAGGCCUUCGGGUUGUAAAGCUCUUUCGGCAGGGAAGAAACGGUCUAGGUUAAUACCUUGGGCUAAUGACGGUACCUGAAGAAGAAGCACCGGCUAACUACGUGCCAGCCGCCGCCGUAA
rnacentral:rRNA from 1 species